UCUAACGUUUAACCUUCUGUAUUAUAUAAAAUUUUUUAUGGUUAGUAUUACGUAUUUUCAUUAUUGUUAGAUGAUAAAAUAUAAACAAUACUUUAUGUAUGACUUAUCUUUUUAAUUUUUUUAAAUAAGACGGACGGUUAAACGUUAGACAUGGAAACCCAGG
rnacentral:pre_miRNA from 1 species